UACGUAGGGUGCGAGCGUUAAUCGGAAUUACUGGGCGUAAAGCGUGCGCAGGCGGUUCGCCGUGUCCGAUGUGAAAGCCCCGGGCUUAACCUGGGAAUGGCAUUGGAAACUGGCGGGCUUGAGUGUGGCAGAGGGGGGUGGAAUUCCACGUGUAGCAGUGAAAUGCGUAGAGAUGUGGAGGAACACCGAUGGCGAAGGCAGCCCCCUGGGCCAACACUGACGCUCAUGCACGAAAGCGUGGGGAGCAAACAGG
rnacentral:rRNA from 1 species